rnacentral:rRNA from 1 species
GACGAACGCUGGCGGCGUGCUUAACACAUGCAAGUCGAACGGAAAGGCCCUGCUUUUGUGGGGUGCUCGAGUGGCGAACGGGUGAGUAACACGUGAGUAACCUGCCCUUGACUUUGGGAUAACUUCAGGAAACUGGGGCUAAUACCGGAUAGGAGCUCCUGCUGCAUGGUGGGGGUUGGAAAGUUUCGGCGGUUGGGGAUGGACUCGCGGCUUAUCAGCUUGUUGGUGGGGUAGUGGCUUACCAAGGCUUUCACGGGUAGCCGGCCUGAGAGGGUGACCGGCCACAUUGGGACUGAGAUACGGCCCAGACUGCUACGGGAGGCAGCAGUGGGGAAUAUUGCACAAUGGGCGGAAGCCUGAUGCAGCAACGCCGCGUGCGGGAUGACGGCCUUCGGGUUGUAAACCGCUUUCGCCUGUGACGAAGCGUGAGUGACGGUAAUGGGUAAAGAAGCACCGGCUAACUACGUG